UUUUCCUCUUUGCUCGGGGGACAACCUUAAUUGAAAUAGCUGUAUACACUUUUAAGACCUGACCAGAAACGACUGCGAAAAAUGCAGCACAAGGUCCUCUGCACCAGAAUCGCAGGGCCGUAGGUUCAAUUACUACUUAUCUAAACUUUUAAUUUUAUAUAUAUCUUCCUUUCAAAUAUAAAUAUAUAUAAGAAAUUGAUUAAUUGAAUACAAAAGUAAGUCUGAUAACGG